AGUUGUGGGAACCUUCCACGGUUUGUGCGACGCAGCUAACGCAUUAAGCGCCCCGCCUGGGGAGUACGAUCGCAAGAUUAAAACUCAAAGGAAUUGACGGGGCCCCGCACGAGCAGCGGAGCAUGCGGCUUAAUUCGACGCAACGCGAAGAACCUUACCAAGGCUUGACAUAUACAGGAAUAUGGCAGAGAUGUCAUAGCCGCGAGGUCUGUAUACAGGUGGUGCAUGGUUGUCGUCAGCUCGUGUCGUGAGAUGUUGGGUUAAGUCCCGCAACGAGCGCAACCCUCGUUCUGUGUUGCCAGCAUUUAGUUGGGGACUCACAGGAGACUGCCGGGGUUAACUCGGAGGAAGGUGGGGAUGACGUCAAAUCAUCAUGCCCCUUAUGUCUUGGGCUGCACGCAUGCUACAAUGGCUGGUACAAACGGCUGCGAUACCGCAAGGUGGAGCGAAUCCGAUAAAGCCAGUCUCAGUUCGGAUUGGGGUGUGCAACUCGACCCCAUGAAGUCGGAGUUGCUAGUAAUCGUA
rnacentral:rRNA from 1 species